ACUUUCUUUUUUUUUACUCAGUGCCCAGGAGGCGGAGAGAGGACGCUUGUGUUUCUUGUGCGAGAGAGUCGUGCAACGUCUGGAGCAGCUGCUGCAAGAGAGCUCUCAGGCGCAGAUUGAGAGCGGCCUAGACAGGUUGUGUCACUUCGCCCCCGAUCCCUUGAGGCCUAAGUGUGAGAACUUGGUCCAACAACGCGGGUCGGUUCUGGUCCAACUGCUGCAGCAUAUUCCUAAAGACCGUCUGUGCAUCCUCAUCUGCCGCUCCAACAACGCUGAAAACUAGAUCUAGAGGAAGAUUGUGAGCCCCUGCUGUGAGUGAGCUGGAUGGCCAGGUGUGUAUAGUUGUCGGGCGAAUUGUCUCCACAAAGUUCGGCCACGCCAGGGAGGGCGUCCAGGCCAUGUCCACACGGGUGACAUCACAAGACCUCGUCCCAUCGGUCACUCUGUUCGUCCGUUGGUGCUCCACUUCUUGCCACAGCAGGCCCGCGUCUUCCCCGGUCUCUGUUGACGUAUUGUGUAGACCUUGUUGGCUGGUUUUAUGUUGACCACUGUUGACGUAUUGUUUUAUGAUGUUGUAGACAACUGUUGUAUUUGUUGUAGACCGCUGUUGACGUAUUGUGGAGACCGCUGUUGAUGUAGAUCUAUUGUUUUAUAAAGUUAUAGACCAUUUGUGCAUUUAUGAAGUUGUAGAUCCCUGGAUUUCACGUUCAUCAGUGUCUUUCUUCGUCUCUACUUUGCCUUGCAGUACUUGAUCAGUCUUGUACAAGACUACGUACAAAAGGUAACUCUGUGGAAUUACAGAAUGUUUUAGACGAUUUGUAUGUCGUCCUUGUUCAGCUUGCUUAGAAUUUCAAAUUGUUAUUCACAACCCUCAAUGGUAAUUGAUGGUGCGAUAUGUACG